GACGAACGCUGGCGGCGUGCUUAACACAUGCAAGUCGAACGGAAAGGCCCUGCUUUUGUGGGGUGCUCGAGUGGCGAACGGGUGAGUAACACGUGAGUAACCUGCCCUUGACUUUGGGAUAACUUCAGGAAACUGGGGCUAAUACCGGAUAGGAGCUCCUGCUGCAUGGUGGGGGUUGGAAAGUUUCGGCGGUUGGGGAUGGACUCGCGGCUUAUCAGCUUGUUGGUGGGGUAGUGGCUUACCAAGGCUUUGACGGGUAGCCGGCCUGAGAGGGUGACCGGCCACAUGGGGACUGAGAUACGGCCCAGAGGGCUACGGGAGGCAGUAGUGGGGAAUAUUGCACAAUGGGCGGAAGCCUGAUGCAGCAACGCCGCGUGCGGGAUGACGGCCUUCGGGUUGUAAACCGCUUUCGCCUGUGACGAAGCGUGAGUGACGGUAAUGGGUAAAGAAGCACCGGCUAACUACGUG
rnacentral:rRNA from 1 species